rnacentral:rRNA from 1 species
UACGAAGGGGGCUAGCGUUGCUCGGAAUCACUGGGCGUAAAGCGCACGUAGGCGGAUUGCUAAGUCGGGGGUGAAAUCCUGGAGCUCAACUCCAGAACUGCCUUCGAUACUGGAGAGCUUGAGUCCGGGAGAGGUGAGUGGAACUGCGAGUGUAGAGGUGAAAUUCGUAGAUAUUCGCAAGAACACCAGUGGCGAAGGCGGCUCACUGGCCCGGUACUGACGCUGAGGUGCGAAAGCGUGGGGAGCAAACAGG